AUUGAACGCUGGCGGCAGGCCUAAGACAUGCAAGUCGAGCGAGAAAGCCCUUCGGGGUGAGUACAGCGGCGGACGGGUGAGUAACGCGUAGGAAUCUACCCAGUAGUGGGGGACAACUAGUGGAAACGCUAGCUAAUACCGCAUACGCCCUAAGGGGGAAAGCGGGGGACCUUCGGGCCUCGUGCUAUUGGAUGAGCCUGCGUAAGAUUAGCUUGUUGGUGAGGUAAUGGCUCACCAAGGCGACGAUCUUUAGCUGGUCUGAGAGGAUGAUCAGCCACACCGGGACUGAGACACGGCCCGGACUCCUACGGGAGGCAGCAGUCGGGAAUAUUGCGCAAUGGGCGAAAGCCUGACGCAGCCAUGCCGCGUGUGUGAAGAAGGCCCUAGGGUUGUAAAGCACUUUCAAUUGGGAGGAAAAGCUAAUGGUUAAUAACCAUUAGCCCUGACGUUACCUUUAGAAGAAGCACCGGCUAACUCCGUGCCAGCAGCCGCGGUAAUACGGAGGGUGCAAGCGUUAAUCGGAAUUACUGGGCGUAAAGCGCGCGUAGGCGGUUUUUUAAGUCGGAUGUGAAAGCCCCGGGCUCAACCUGGGAACUGCAUCCGAUACUGGAUCACUAGAAUGCGGGAGAGGGAGGUAGAAUUCCAUGUGUAGCAGUGAAAUGCGUAGAUAUAUGGAGGAAUACCAGUGGCGAAGGCGGCCUCCUGGCUCGACAUUGACGCUGAGGUGCGAAAGCGUGGGGAGCAAACGGGAUUAGAUACCCCGGUAGUCCACGCCGUAAACGAUGUCUACUAGCUGUAGGGGUACUUGAGACCUUUGUAGCGCAGCUAACGCAAUAAGUAGACCGCCUGGGGAGUACGGCCGCAAGGUUAAAACUCAAAUGAAUUGACGG
rnacentral:rRNA from 1 species